AACCCAGAAAUCUCCGCCUCUCCGCCCUCUCGACCUCUCCUUUGAAGUUCUUUGCUGAGUCAAACCCAGAACUCUCCGCCUCUGGACCUCUCCUUUGAAGUUCGAUUCAUGUCCUACGGCGGAGCUUGGGGAAGAGAGAGCUUACAUUAGUGAAACCUUGUUCACCUUCAUCUUUUUAUCCUUUGUCUUGACUUGUCAGUUUCUUCGAAUCCUGACAUUCUACUCCACCCACCUUCCUGGUCCAAAUUACCAUUGUCGUGAG